rnacentral:rRNA from 1 species
UACGUAGGGCGCAAGCGUUGUCCGGAAUUAUUGGGCGUAAAGAGCUCGUAGGCGGUUUGUCGCGUCUGCUGUGAAAACUCGAGGCUCAACCUCGGGCUUGCAGUGGGUACGGGCAGACUAGAGUGCGGUAGGGGAGACUGGAAUUCCUGGUGUAGCGGUGGAAUGCGCAGAUAUCAGGAGGAACACCGAUGGCGAAGGCAGGUCUCUGGGCAUGUCCUGACGCUGAGGAGCGAAAGUGUGGGGAGCGAACAGG